AUAUUGCACAAUGGGGGGAACCCUGAUGCAGCGACGCCGCGUGGGUGAAGGAGUAUUUCAGUAUGUAAAGCCCUAUCGGCAGGGAAGAAUUUAGACGGUACCUGACUAAGAAGCCCCGGCUAACUACGUGCCAGCAGCCGCGGUAAUACGUAGGGGGCAAGCGUUAUCCGGAUUCACUGGGUGUAAAGGGAGCGUAGACGGCCAGGCAAGCCUGGAGUGAAAGCCCGGGGCCCAACCCCGGGACUGCUCUGGGAACUGUCCGGCUGGAGUGCGGGAGGGGCAGGCGGAAUUCCUGGUGUAGCGGUGAAAUGCGUAGAUAUCAGGAGGAACACCGGCGGCGAAGGCGGCCUGCUGGACCGCGACUGACGUUGAGGCUCGAAAGCGUGGGGAGCGAACAGG
rnacentral:rRNA from 1 species